GACAAUGGGCGAAAGCCUGAUCCAGCAAUGCCGCGUGUGUGAAGAAGGCCUUCGGGUUGUAAAGCACUUUUGUCCGGAAUGAAAUCCUUGGCYCUAAUACAGUCGGGGGAUGACGGUACCGGAAGAAUAAGCACCGGCUAACUACGUGCCAGCAGCCGCGGUAAUACGUAGGGUGCGAGCGUUAAUCGGAAUUACUGGGCGUAAAGCGUGCGCAGGCGGUUUGCUAAGACCGAUGUGAAAUCCCCGGGCUCAACCUGGGAACUGCAUUGGUGACUGGCAGGCUAGAGUAUGGCAGAAGGGGGGUAGAAUUCCACCGUGUAGCAGUGAAAUGCGUAGAGAUGUGGGAGGAAUACCCGAUGGCGAAAGCAGCCCCCUGGGCCAAUACUUGACGCUCAUGCACAAAAACCUGGGGGAGCAAACAAGGAUUAGAUACCUGG
rnacentral:rRNA from 1 species